CAGUCGCCACGGGAAUACGUAGGGUGCAAGCGUUAAUCGGAAUUACUGGGCGUAAAGCGCGCGUAGGUGGUUCGCCAAGUUGGAUGUGAAAUCCCCGGGCUCAACCUGGGAACUGCAUCCAAAACUGGCGAGCUAGAGCAUGGUAGAGGGUGGUGGAAUUUCCUGUGUAGCGGUGAAAUGCGUAGAUAUAGGAAGGAACAUCAGUGGCGAAGGCGACCACCUGGACUGAUACUGACACUGAGGUGCGAAAGCGUGGGGAGCAAACAGGAUUAGAUACCCGUGUAGUCCCUGUCUCUUAUAC
rnacentral:rRNA from 1 species